AUGAACGCUAGCUACAGGCUUAACACAUGCAAGUCGGAGGGGCAGCAUGAACUUAGCUUGCUAAGUUUGAUGGCGACCGGCGCGACGGGUGAAGUAACACGUAUCCAACCUGCCGAUGACUCGGGGAUAGCCUUUCGAAAGAAAGAUUAAUACAAGAUGGCAUCAUGAGUCCGCAUGUUCACAUGAUUAAAGGUAUUCCGGUAGACGAUGGGGAUGCGUUCCAUUAGAUAGUAGGCGGGGUAACGGCCCACCUAGUCUUCGAUGGAUAGGGGUUCUGAGAGGAAGGUCCCCCACAUUGGAACUGAGACACGGUCCAAACUCCUACGGGAGGCAGCAGUGAGGAAUAUUGGUCAAUGGGCGAGAGCCUGAACCAGCCAAGUAGCGUGAAGGAUGACUGCCCUAUGGGUUGUAAACUUCUUUUAUAAAGGAAUAAAGUCGGGUAUGCAUACCCGUUUGCAUGUACUUUAUGAAUAAGGAUCGGCUAACUCCGUG
rnacentral:rRNA from 1 species